rnacentral:rRNA from 1 species
UACAGAGGUCUCAAGCGUUGUUCGGAUUCAUUGGGCGUAAAGGGUGCGUAGGCGGCGCGGUAAGUCGGGUGUGAAAUCUCGGAGCUUAACUCCGAAACUGCAUUCGAUACUGCCGUGCUUGAGGACUGGAGAGGAGACUGGAAUUUACGGUGUAGCGGUGAAAUGCGUAGAUAUCGUAAGGAAGACCAGUGGCGAAGGCGGGUCUCUGGGCCGAUAC